rnacentral:rRNA from 1 species
UACGUAGGGGGCGAGCGUUGUCCGGAAUCAUUGGGCGUAAAGAGCGUGUAGGCGGCCCGGUAAGUCCGCUGUGAAAGUCCAGGGCUCAACCCUGGGAUGCCGGUGGAUACUGUCGGGCUCGAGUCCGGAAGAGGAGUGUGGAAUUCCUGGUGUAGCGGUGAAAUGCGCAGAUAUCAGGAGGAACACCAAUGGCGAAGGCAGCACUCUGGGACGUGACUGACGCUGAAGACGCGAAAAGCGUGGGGAGC